rnacentral:rRNA from 1 species
ACGUAGGGUGCGAGCGUUAAUCGGAAUUACUGGGCGUAAAGCGCACGUAGGCGGCUUUGUAAGUUAGAGGUGAAAGCCCAGAGCUCAACUCUGGAACUGCCUUUAAGACUGCAUCGCUUGAAUUGUGGAGAGGUAAGUGGAAUUCCGAGUGUAGAGGUGAAAUUCGUAGAUAUUCGGAAGAACACCAGUGGCGAAGGCGACUUACUGGACACAUAUUGACGCUGAGGUGCGAAAGCGUGGGGAGCAAACAGGA